GUGCUCACUUCAGCAGCACAAAUACUAAAAUUGGAACAAUACAAAGAAAAUUAGCAUGGUCUCUGCACAAGAAGGAAAAAAAAAGAGCACAUAACAUGAAUAUAUCU
rnacentral:snRNA from 1 species